UGGCUCAGUUGUUAGAGCAUGGUGUUUGCAACGCCAGGGUUGUGGGUUCAAUUCCCAC
rnacentral:tRNA from 1 species